UACGAAGGGGGCUAGCGUUGCUCGGAAUGACUGGGCGUAAAGGGCGCGUAGGCGGAUGUGACAGUCAGAUGUGAAAUUCCCGGGCUCAACCUGGGGGCUGCAUUUGAUACGUCAUGUCUUGAGUGAGGAAGAGGGUCGUGGAAUUCCCAGUGUAGAGGUGAAAUUCGUAGAUAUUGGGAAGAACACCGGUGGCGAAGGCGGCGACCUGGUCCUUGACUGACGCUGAGGCGCGAAAGCGUGGGGAGCAAACAGG
rnacentral:rRNA from 1 species